rnacentral:ncRNA from 2 species
GCUGCUGCAAAGGCACAUGGUUUUCCAUCGGCGCGCGGCGACGCGCUUCGAUGGAUCUGGGAACGGGGAAGGGCCUGACCGCCCGAAGCCCCGACCGCCCCCGCGACUGUGAGCGGCGAGUGGCCUUCCACGAUGCCACUGGACCUGAGCCUUUCGAGGCCGGGUCUGGGAAGGCGGAUGGUUGCGACGACCCGCAAGUCAGGAGACCGACCAUGGGCAUGUGUUCACC